rnacentral:misc_RNA from 1 species
GAUGAAGAACGUAGCGAAAUGCGAUAAGUAAUGUGAAUUGCAGAAUUCAGUGAAUCAUCGAAUCUUUGAACGCACAUUGCGCCCCCUGGUAUUCCGGGGGGCAUGCCUGUUCGAGCGUCAUUUCACCACUCAAGCCUCGCUUGGUAUUGGGCAACGCGGUCCGCCGCGUGCCUCAAAUCGACCGGCUGGGUCUUCUGUCCCCUAAGCGUUGUGGAAACUAUUCGCUAAAGGGUGUUCGGGAGGCUACGCCGUAAAACAACCCCAUUUCUAAGGUUGACCUCGGAUCAGGUAGGGAUACCCGCUGAACUUAAGCAUAUCAAUAAGCGUAGGA